GAUGAACGCUGGCGGCGUGCCUAAUACAUGCAAGUCGAGCGAACAGACGAGGAGCUUGCUCCUCUGACGUUAGCGGCGGACGGGUGAGUAACACGUGGAUAACCUACCUAUAAGACUGGGAUAACUUCGGGAAACCGGAGCUAAUACCGGAUAAUAUAUUGAACCGCAUGGUUCAAUAGUGAAAGACGGUUUUGCUGUCACUUAUAGAUGUAUCCGCGCCGCAUUAGCUAGUUGGUAAGGUAACGGCUUACCAAGGCAGCGAUGCGUAGCCGACCUGAGAGGAUGAUCGGCCACACUGGAACUGGGACACGGUCCCGACUCCUACGGGAGGCAGCAGUAGGGAAUCUUCCGCAAUGGGCGAAAGCCUGACGGAGCAACGCCGCGUGAGUGAUGAAGGUCUUCGGAUCGUAAAACACUGUUAUUAGGGAAGAACAAAUGUGUAAGUAACUAUGCACGUCUUGACGGUACCUAAUCAGAAAGCCACGGCUAACUACGUG
rnacentral:rRNA from 1 species